rnacentral:lncRNA from 1 species
AAAAAUUUGGAUAACAAGGGUUUUUGAACUCGGUAGUCAUGUUGUGUACUUUUUCUUUCUUUUCCUUUUUUUUUCGUGCAUCACGUAUACUCUGGGGUAAAAACUCUUUUGACUUUUUUCUACUCACAUUUUCCGAGCAUUUUAUAUCUGUUAGAGUCUAAGGUCUCGGCAAGUGCAUUUUUCUCUUUUUUUUUCUUUUUUUUUUCUUUUAAAGAAAAUACAUACUGUUUUUUUUUUUAUGAUCUCAUCUUAUGCACUUGCCUUCUCUUUCAAGAU